AGGGACCAGGCCAGAGUCUCAGAGGGCGGAUGUGGUUUGCUCCCAUUAGAGCAGCUGGUCGGGGAAGAGCUUGGCAAAUCCCGCGUCUUCUGACUCAAUGUCGGAUGCCUCACGCGGCCUCCCUUGGGCUGGUUUGAAGACCACGGUCCCUGAACAAAGGGAAGCCAAGGAAGACUUCAGCAACUCUGGUGUUUUCAUCUGUUACAUGUCCUGGGUUAUGACCAGCCUAGCCAGCAUUGAGAACGUGGGUUUGAAGUUAGCGGGGGACCUGAGUCUGGAUCUCAAAUCUUGGCCAAGAUACCAGCUCUCACCACCUGUGAGCUCAAGCGACAGUCCUCUCCCUGGGCCCGGGUCUCCACCCCUCCUGUGUUCUGUGCCCGUGUGGCGUCACCCACUGCACACCUGGGUGGCUCCUGUGACCUCCAAGUAGAGAUGCUGCGGUCUCAGUGCUUGGCCAUCGGAGACCUGGAGCCUCCUCCUCCUCCUUUGAGCUCGGGGAUGCUCUGGGCCAUCCUGGAAGAAUCUGUUGGCCAUGAGCAAACCCACAGGAAGAGGCCAUGUGCAAAGACCUGGAGAAGAACCACCCCAAACCCCAGCUCUGCCUACCCUCCAGGUGACCCACCAGCCUCUGGAGGCUCCAGUGCAGGCCAGCCCUGAGGUGGCCGCAGCCUUGAUGGACAUCGAGUGGAAGAGGACGCCCAGCCCAGUCUAGUCAACCUUCAGAAUCACACCGGCUGUUGUUUUAAUCCCCUGAGAGUUGGAUAGUUUAUACAAAGCACACAGCCUGAAAAUGUUGUCAACUGGAGCGGGGCGGUGGAGGUGGUUAUAUAAGUCCAGUGCCCUGGAGCUGGGAGCUUCCUGUAGGCUCUGAGCUACUGGGAAGGCGACCUCUCUUGUCGGAUGUGCAGUCCUUCUCCGCAGGGCCCUGGGAAGGGGCACGUCGAUUUAUCUGUGCAGGAAGGCUGAGGGGGAGGCUCCGCCCUGUUCAGCCUGUCCCUUGGCCUCACAAAGCACGCCUGCCUCCAUCAGCGAUGUUAAUCCUUCCACACCCUGCGUGCAGGUGUGCCUGCUAAGUCACUUCAGCCGUGUUUGACUCUUCGCACCCCCAGGCUGUAGCCUGCCAGGCUCCCCUGUCCAUGGGUUUCUCCAGGCAAGGAUUCUGGAGUACGUUGCUAUGCCCUUCUCCAGGGCAUCUUCCUGACCCAGGGAUCGAACCUGUGUCUCUUAUGUUUCCUGCACUGGCAGACAUCCUUUACCACUAGCGCCACCUGUGAACCCUGCAGGUCUGGGCAAACGAGACGAUGGAGGUGCCAGACCCGGCCUGGCCAGGGUCAUUCGAGAAGUGAGAGGAAAAGAGAGCCCCCUUGUCUUAGUCCCCUCGGCUCCUCUAACCAGAUGCAGAGAUGAGGGGAGGGGGCUUGUCAACAACAGACCCCUACUCCACCCAGCCCUGGAGGCCUCGUGCUCCUGAUUGAGGGGCCGGAAGACCUGCUGUGUGGUGAGAGCCUACUUCCUGGCUCACAGACGGCCAUCUUCUCGCCGUGUCCCCACGUGGCAGAGAGGGAGGGGGAGUUCUCUGGGGUCUCUUUACAAGGACUCCGAGCCCACGCCUGAGGCGCUGCCCUUGUGACCUAGUCACCUCCCAACGCCCCC
ensembl:lncRNA